rnacentral:lncRNA from 1 species
UUUGUACAGACUACCAAUCCUUGAUUGACAAGUACUGCAGUGAUUUUAUCACACCAGCUUUGAGCAUUUUCACAUCCGGGCUUGGAUCACGUUCCUUAAACUUGAUAGAAUGAACAAUCUCUCUAGGAGUUCACACCACUCCAGAGUCAUAUUUGUUGACUGUGGAAGCUCAUGGAGUUGUAUUUCUUUCACUUGCGAGCCCUAGAG